rnacentral:rRNA from 1 species
AUUGAACGCUGGCGGCAUGCCUUACACAUGCAAGUCGAACGGCAGCACGGGUGCUUGCACCUGGUGGCGAGUGGCGAACGGGUGAGUAAUACAUCGGCACGUACCUUAUCGUGGGGGAUAACGCAGCGAAAGUUGCGCUAAUACCGCAUACGCCCUGAGGGGGAACGCGGGGGACCGUAAGGCCUCGCGCGAUUAGAGCGGCCGAUGUCUGAUUAGCUUGUUGGUGAGGUAAAAGCUCACCAAGGCGAUGAUCAGUAGCUGGUCUGAGAGGACGAUCAGCCACACUGGGACUGAGACACGGCCCAGACUCCUACGGGAGGCAGCAGUGGGGAAUUUUGGACAAUGGGGGCAACCCUGAUCCAGCAAUGCCGCGUGAGUGAAGAAGGCCUUCGGGUUGUAAAGCUCUUUUGUCAGGGAAGAAACAGCAGCUCUGACACAGUCUGCGAAUGACGGUACCUGAAGAAUAAGCACCGGCUAACUACGUGCCAGCAGCCGCAGUAA